rnacentral:rRNA from 1 species
CCUACGGGAGGCAGCAGUGGGGAAUAUUGGACAAUGGGCGAAAGCCUGAUCCAGCAAUGCCGCGUGAGUGAUGAAGGCCUUCGGGUCGUAAAGCUCUUUUACCAGGGAUGAUAAUGACAGUACCUGGAGAAUAAGCUCCGGCUAACUCCGUGCCAGCAGCCGCGGUAAUACGGAGGGAGCUAGCGUUGUUCGGAAUUACUGGGCGUAAAGAGUACGUAGGCGGUUAUUCAAGUCAGAGGUGAAAGCCCGGGGCUCAACCCCGGAACUGCCUUUGAAACUAGAUAGCUAGAGUCUUGGAGAGGUUAGUGGAAUUCCGAGUGUAGAGGUGAAAUUCGUAGAUAUUCGGAAGAACACCAGUGGCGAAGGCGACUAACUGGACAAGUACUGACGCUGAGGUACGAAAGCGUGGGGAGCAAACAGGAUUAGAUACCCUGGUAGUCCACGCCGUAAACGAUGAUAACUAGUUGUUCGGUCACUUGGUGACUGAGUGACGCAGCUAACGCAUUAAGUUAUCCGCCUGGGGAGUACGGUCGCAAGAUUAAAACUCAAAGGAAUUGACGGCUGAGAGNGCGAGACGACGACGAGGAGAG